GGUUGACUAGUCUAGUGGUUAUAAUUUCUGUCUUACGUGUCUGUUGAGCAAUACGUACACAGAAGGUCACAAGUUCGAUCCCCUGUGUUAGCCA